GAUGAACGCUGGCGGCGUGCCUAAUACAUGCAAGUCGAGCGAACAGACGAGGAGCUUGCUCCUCUGACGUUAGCGGCGGACGGGUGAGUAACACGUGGAUAACCUACCUAUAAGACUGGGAUAACUUCGGGAAACCGGAGCUAAUACCGGAUAAUAUAUUGAACCGCAUGGUUCAAUAGUGAAAGACGGUUUUGCUGUCACUUAUAGAUGGAUCCGCGCCGCAUUAGCUAGUUGGUAAGGUAACGGCUUACCAAGGCAACGAUGCGUAGGCGACCUGAGAGGGUGAUCGGCCACACUGGAACUGAGACACGGUCCAGACUCCUACGGGAGGCAGCAGUAGGGAAUCUUCCGCAAUGGGCGAAAGCCUGACGGAGCAACGCCGCGUGAGUGAUGAAGGUCUUCGGAUCGUAAAACUCUGUUAUUAGGGAAGAACAAAUGUGUAAGUAACUAUGCACGUAUUGACGGUACCUAAUCAGAAAGCCACGGCUAACUACGUG
rnacentral:rRNA from 1 species